rnacentral:rRNA from 1 species
GAUGAACGCUAGCGGCAGGCCUAAUACAUGCAAGUCGGACGGGAUUCAGGAGCUUGCUUCUGAUGAGAGUGGCGCACGGGUGCGUAACACGUAUGUAACCUACCUUUAUCAGGGGGAUAGCCUCUCGAAAGAGAGAUUAAGCCCGCAUAAAAUCACAGCACAGCAUUGUGUAAUGAUCAAAUAUUUAUAGGAUAAAGAUGGGCAUGCGGAACAUUAGCUAGAUGGCGGGGUAACGGCCCACCAUGGCGACGAUGUUUAGGGGAUCUGAGAGGAUGGCCCCCCACACUGGUACUGAGACACGGACCAGACUGCUACGGGAGGCAGCAGUAAGGAAUAUUGGUCAAGGGGCGGAAGCCUGAACCAGCCAUGCCGCGUGCAGGAAGACGGCCCUACGGGUUGUAAACUGCUUUUAUACGGGAAUAAACCCAGAUACGUGUAUCUGGCUGAAUGUACUGUAAGAAUAAGGAUCGGCUAACUCCGUG